GAGGAGGAGGCGGCCAGGCUGAGGUACCUCGAGUUCGUGCAGCAGGCGGCGGCGCAGGCCGUCGUGCUUGCCGCCGCGGCCUACGCGUACGCCAAGCAGGGCGCCGGCCCGCUCCGCCCCGGCGUUGACCACGUCGAGGGGACCGUCAAGGCCGUCGUCGGCCCCGUCUACGACCGCUACCACGCCGUGCCGCUCGACCUCCUCAAGUUCCUCGACCGCAAGGUUGACGAGUCUGUCCAGGAGCUGGACCGCCGUGUCCCACCAGUCGUGAAGGAGGUGCCGACCUAUGCCCGCUCUGCAGCAGCUGAGGUGCAGAAGACAGGCAUAAUGGGCACAGCAACUGGACUGGCCAAGUCGGCCAUUGCUCGCGCUGAGCCUAAGGCCCGUGACUUGUAUACCCGCUAUGAGCCUGUGGCGGAGCGCAAGGCUGCCGAAGCCUGGGCCGCCCUGAACCGCCUCCCGCUCGUCCCCUCGGUGACCCGUGCCGUCCUCCCCACAGCUGCACAGCUCUCAGCCAAGUACAACUCUGCAGUGCUCGAUGGCGCUAAGCGUGGCAACUCCGUCGCCACCUACCUCCCGCUCGUCCCAACUGAGCGCAUUGCAAGGGUUUUCGCCAACCCGGCCGCCGACACUGCGCCUGCCACAGCUCCUGAGAUGCAGCCCAUCCCGACGCAGUAA
rnacentral:rRNA from 1 species